rnacentral:lncRNA from 1 species
CUGACAAUGGCCAAGCAAGCAGCCAUGGAGUGGAUCCCAGGCUCUGGCAUUUACUAGGAGGGAGAAGAGGCAAUUGACUCUAUGCCAUUUGUAUACAGUCUUGUAAAACCACUGCUGAAGAUUUGAAAUAUUAUUCUGACUUGAAUAACUUGCCACUCCAAGUGAAGCUGUUUUCUUCGCUAGACUUGCCACAGUUUGGAAGGGAAGCUGUCCUUCAGCAAUGAUAAAUGACACAGCAAUUGUUUCUGCAAGUCCAGAAUGAUGAAUAGAUCUUGCUUCAUCCAAAGCUUUAUUUCCAAAAGCUUUGACACAAAGAGAGACCAAUUUCAUUAUUGCUACAUUCUAGAAGAAGAAACAAAACCAUUUGCCAGCAUGCUUAAUAUGAUGAAUUUCUAAGCUGAAAGCACUAUCCUUGUAAUCUUUUUGAUGUCUCUUAAUAUAUCUAUCCAUUUUCCUUACAAAGACCGUUUGUUUAUUAAGAUCCAUUCUGUGAAAAGAGUCACAUGGUGUAUUUCAAACGUCCGUUUAAAAUGAUUCUUCAGGUAUGAUGCCAGAAGUUUUAAUAGCCCUCCGCCUCCCCUUCACAUUGCCUGUGUGAUCUCUGGUGUGUCCUGCCAAGUACCCUCACUCUCUCACUUUCGUUGCCCAAGUGCAUUCUGAGUAGCAAGGACUUCUGCUUGGACUCAUUGUUUGGGUCAGGCUCAGAGAGAGCUCUUAUGUUUUUUCUCAUCAGCUAAUAAAGAUAAGGGGUGGCAUCAGGGGAAGCAUGCCUUAGAGAUGAAGGGCAAAUGGAGAUCUUUGAUUCAAAGAAUGCGGCUCCAUCACUUUCUCUCUUACAUAAAAAUUCUAUUCAUCCCACACUUCCUACUGCAAAUCACAUUGGUACACCAUGACAAUGCAGUAGAUACACAAGGACUUUCCCACAUCACACUACAAACACAGCCACCCUCUCUGGGGAACGUAAGAGAAACUUUUGGGCUUCCACUUCCCCUCCAUUUGUUUGAAGGAUCAAGAGAACACUGUUCCAUUUUCAACAAAAAUUAAAAAGGAAAAUCAUGAAAAGAGCCAACCUCCUCUUUUUUGUUUUCUCCCUUAAUAUAUUGUUGCAUCCAGGGAAGAGGAAACAGUGAGCGCCACUGAUACUGGGUCCCCAGGGACCCCAUAAGGGUCACUCCCCAGCUAUCAAAUGAGCAUGUCUUCCUCCACUUGCAGAGUGAGUUUUUAACGGGAAUGGAAGUUACUCUUGGCUCAGCUCUGAUGUUGAAAAAAAUAAAAUAAAAAGAAAAGAAAAAAAGAAAAGAAAAAGAAAUGCCACAGUGCUUCAGGGAACCAGGCUGUGUUCACACCUGGGUUUUCACAGGACAGAGAUUUUUAGCUUUAAGGCUUUGGAGAUUUGGAGAAAGGAGAUUUCAGAAAUCAUUAGCCAUGUUCCUGCCAGCCUCAG